UACGGAGGGUGCGAGCGUUGUCCGGAAUCACUGGGCGUAAAGGGCGCGUAGGCGGCUUGGGAAGUCCGUGGUGAAAGCUCGUGGCUCAACUGCGAGUCGGCCAUGGAUACUCCUAAGCUCGAGCACUGUAGAGGCAGGUGGAAUUCCGGGUGUAGCGGUGGAAUGCGUAGAUAUCUGGAGGAAUACCGGUGGCGAAGGCGGCAUCCUGGACCGACAUUGACGCUGAGGAGCGAAAGCUAGGGGAGCAAACGGG
rnacentral:rRNA from 1 species